CCUACGGGGAGCAGCAGUGAGGAAUAUUGGUCAAUGGGCGAGAGCCUGAACCAGCCAAGUAGCGUGAGGGAUGACUGCCCUAUGGGUUGUAAACCUCUUUUAUAAGGGAAUAAAACGCUCCACGUGUGGAGCUUUGCAUGUACCUUUUGAAUAAGGAUCGGCUAACUCCGUGCCAGCAGCCGCGGUAAUACGGAGGAUCCGAGCGUUAUCCGGAUUUAUUGGGUUUAACGGGUGCGUAGGCGGACUGAUAAGUCAGCUGUGAAAGUUUGCGGCUCAACCGUAAAAUUGCAGUUGAAACUGUUAGUCUUGAGUGUACAUAAGGUAUGCGGAAUUCGUGGUGGAGCGGUGAAAUGCUUAGAUAUCACGAAGAACUCCAAUUGCGAAGGCAGCUUACCGGGGUACAACUGACGCUGAGGCACGAAAGCGUGGGUAUCAAACA
rnacentral:rRNA from 1 species